rnacentral:rRNA from 1 species
GGACGGUGGGGGCUGUGUCUGCCGGAUAGGUAUGUACUGGCUCCCCCGUCCUUUCCUACUGGGCACUCGCCCCUGCUCUUAACUGAGUGGGGGUAUUCACCGGCCUUGCCGGCGUUUCGCCCGGGCAGGCCAGGUACGGUUGGCCCCAGCUGAGUGGGGGCACCUUCGGGUGUUCUUCACCUGGCUGGGACGACCGUUUCCUGCCUCCUGGUGUCGGAGUUCCAGUUCGUUUACUGUGAGUAAAUUAGAGUGUUCAAAGCAGGCGAACUUCGCCUUGAAUACGUUAGCAUGGGAUAAUGGAAUAGGACUUGGGUUCUAUUUUGUUGGUUUCUAGGGCUUGAGUA